GUCGAUGACAGCGGUGGAGUCCGCUGAAACCGCCUCGGGCCGAUGACUCCUGCUCCGAC
rnacentral:ncRNA from 2 species